GUUCGGAACCGAACCUACUAUUUGCACACUCCUAGACAGGAACACGAAUAGAUUCAAUCUAAACCCUCUAUUUUCGUGUCGUGUUUGCAAGUCAUUUCCAAAAUUGCCAUGAACAAGAAUAAACUAACUUCUAAUUUACUGCUAGCAAGUAUUUGUUUGUAUACUAUGCUUACCGUGUUUGUAUGCUGCAAAGUUAUCUCCUGCUUGAUGCCUUCAACUGAGGCUUGUAAUUCAAAUCAAAUGCAGCAAGCGAAACCCACAAAUGUU
rnacentral:misc_RNA from 1 species